GUGCUUGUUUCUCCAGCACAUAUACUAAAAUUGGAAUAAUUCAGAGAUUAGCAUGGCCCCUGCACAAGGAUGACUUGCAAAUUUUCAAAGCAUCCCGUGUGUGU
rnacentral:snRNA from 1 species